GGGGGUGUUAAUAAAUUCGACAUAGUAGCA
rnacentral:tmRNA from 1 species